rnacentral:rRNA from 1 species
GACGGACCACACGAACGUUAUUCGGAAUUACUGGGCUUAAAGGGUGCGUAGGCGGUGCAGUAAGUUGGGUGUGAAAUCCCUCGGCUUAACCGAGGAAUUGCGCCCAAAACUACUGUGCUUGAGAAAGAUAGAGGUAAGCGGAACUUAGGGUGGAGCGGUGAAAUGCGUUGAUAUCCUAAGGAACACCGGUGGCGAAAGCGGCUUACUGGGUCUUUUCUGACGCUGAGGCACGGAAAGC